rnacentral:lncRNA from 1 species
UUACCAGACCAUAUCGAUGGUAUGAUUGAAAUUCUUAUUGAAGGGCACAUGGGUGACUAUAACGGGAAGCUUUACUGGAUUGUGGAACAUGGGUAUGAUUUUCUGGUCUAUGAUGCCAUCAAGAGUGAGUUUUAGAUGGAUCGCCUCGACCCUCCUUCAAAUGCAUUGCAAGAUAGAUGGUAUGAUCGAAAGAUAUCUCAGUACAGUGGGCUUACCAUAUGUCAAGGCUUGUUAUGGGUAGGACAAUGUGUGGGUAGACGACUAAGAGUAUUCGUGUUUGAAGAUGGCCAGUGGUGUCUCAAAGCAUGAUGUUGAUGUCCUUGCUAAUAUGCAAUGGCAAUGCAGUUGGGCGGUGGAAGUUCGAGCGUAUGCAUCCCAGUGAUCCCAUGGUAGGGUAUCUGUCCACCAAAGACAUGUUGCUAGAAUGCAAUUUUGGAAGCAAAACCGUGAUAGUGGUGUUCGACAUCGAGGAAGACUCAUCUGGGGAACUCUUCUACGUGUUGCCCAUUUAUCUUCC